AGUCCAUCCCAGUCCCUUCCCAGCAGCCGCCGCCGUUUCCCGGGUCCUGCCCCCCCGCCCCCCCAAGAUGCUGACGGGGGUCGGGGCUCCGUCUUUGCCUUCGUCUCCCUGGGCCUGCCUGGAAUGAAGGGGCCGCUGGGACACUGCGGGACCUCCUGAAACCAAAGGAACCCGGGGAGAAUUUGGAUACUCCUGUAGUCAAGGCACAAUUGUGACACUGCAGGGCCCUAUGGAAAAAAGGAACCUUGUGACACUGCGGAAUUCAUGGAAUCCAGGGGCCUUUGUGACAUGGGGGCCUCAUGGAACCAAAGGAACCCUGAGGUAUUUCAGAAAGUCAUGGAAUCAAGGGGCCACUGGGACGCUGCAGGGCCUCUGGGAAUUAAAGGAACACUGGGACACUGGGGCAGGACAUCCCCCCUGCAAUGGCACCAAGACAAUGCCCCAUUUGCAAAGGGGUCAGUGCUGAGCUGAGAGGGGGCCAGGACAAGGCAGGAGAUGUUGGAACCCAGACUGGUUUGACCCCAAAUGAAGCCCCUGAUGCUGCCUGCCGUCACCAGAGACUGGACCUCUGCCAUCUUGAAGUGGACUGAGACCCACCGUGCUACCCGUGUGAGUUUCUCCACCCUGACCAUAUUUCUGAGGGCCGAGAGGUGCAGACCAAGACCUCUGCACAGCCUGAGACACGGCUGGUGUGAGCAGCAAAGCCACAUCCUGACUGCAUUCCAGAGAACUAAGACCCCCUGCAGCUAAAGAGAUAACAUCACAUAGAAGGCGGCAGAGAACUGAGAAAAAAAAAAGGCAAAAAAGACUGCCUCUCUCUCUCCCCCCCCCUCUACAGACCAGCUCGGACGAAAAGGUCGUUUUGGUGGUAUCUUUCCUCUGCUUCUAAAAGUAAUCUUAGCAUUUUCCAACCUUUUCUUAUUUUUUCCUCUUUCUCUUUGCAUCUCUUAGCAAUUAAUAAAAAACAGUUUUGGUAUCAACAGAUAA